rnacentral:rRNA from 1 species
UACGUAGGGGGCGAGCGUUGUCCGGAUUUAUUGGGCGUAAAGAGCGUGUAGGCGGUUCGGUAAGUCUGUCGUGAAAUCCUGAGGCUCAACCUCGGGCCUGCAGUCGAUACGGGCAAACUAGAGUACUGCAGGGGAGACUGGAAUUCCUGGUGUAGCGGUGAAAUGCGCAGAUAUCAGGAGGAACACCGGUGGCGAAGGCGGGUCUCUGGGCAGUAACUGACGCUGAGGAGCGAAAGCGUGGGGAGCGAACAGG